AUUGAACGCUGGCGGCAUGCCUUACACAUGCAAGUCGAACGGCAGCACGGACUUCGGUCUGGUGGCGAGUGGCGAACGGGUGAGUAAUACAUCGGAACGUGCCUAGUAGUGGGGGAUAACUACUCGAAAGGGUUGCUAAUACCGCAUGAUGCAGCUGGGUCGCAUGACCCUGGCUGCCAAAGAUUUAUCGCUCUGAGAUGGCCUCGCGUCUGAUUAGCUAGUAGGCGGGGUAACGGCCCACCUAGGCGACGAUCAGUAGCCGGACUGAGAGGUUGACCGGCCACAUUGGGACUGAGACACGGCCCAG
rnacentral:rRNA from 1 species